rnacentral:rRNA from 1 species
UACGUAGGGUGCGAGCGUUGUCCGGAAUUAUUGGGCGUAAAGAGCUCGUAGGCGGUGUGUCACGUCGGCCGUGAAAACCUGCAGCUUAACCGUGGGCGUGCGGUCGAUACGGGCAUCACUGGAGUUCGGCAGGGGAGACUGGAAUUCCCGGUGUAGCGGUGAAAUGCGCAGAUAUCGGGAGGAACACCAGUGGCGAAGGCGGCACUCUGGGCCGGAACUGACGCUGAGGAGCGAAAGCGUGGGGAGCGAACAGG